UACGAAGGGUGCAAGCGUUAAUCGGAAUUACUGGGCGUAAAGCGCGCGUAGGUGGUUCAGCAAGUUGGAUGUGAAAGCCCUGGGGCUCAACCUGGGAACUGCAUCCAAAACUACUGAGCUAGAGUACGGUAGAGGGUAGUGGAAUUUCCUGUGUAGCGGUGAAAUGCGUAGAUAUAGGAAGGAACACCAGUGGCGAAGGCGGCUCACUGGACCGGAACUGACGCUGAGGCGCGAAAGCGUGGGGAGCAAACGGGAUUAGAAACCCCAGUAGU
rnacentral:rRNA from 1 species